AGGGUUGGUUUAUAGUUGUGGCUGUAAGUUUAUUUGGGCAUUGAAAGGCACCUGAAGGUAGCCCGGCUGAACAGCUCUGCAGGGAGGAAGCACCUGUGCAGAAUCCGGAAGCUACGUGCCUGUCUGUUCCUCUGUGCUUCCCAAGCAGAGCGGUGAGCCUAACCAGGGCCCGAGCAGUGGCAACUGGGUGGUGCUGGAGGAGGGGAGGAAGGAACAUUCCGCCAGAAGCCUUAAGAAACCCAAACGCGCCGCCUUUUUGGACUUACCCAGAACCUUGCAGGCUUCCUGGAUGAGCUUAAUGGUGAUGGUGUCAUCAUAAACGGUGUAGGUCAUGAAGACAUCCUGCACUUCUGCAGAAGCCCUGAAAGAUGCAUCAAGCGCAGGUCUGUAAGGUAAGGUCUCUGCUGAUGGUGACAUCAUCUAGGUGAGUCAUUACCGGAUUCGUUAACCCUGCAGUGUUUUUCGGAGCACCAGCCACACCUAUGGAGGCAGAAUUUCACGUAGUAUUUCAGACUGGCCUUGAACUUACUAUGUAUUGGAGGUUGACCUUGAACUUCUGACCUUUCUGCCUGCCCUCUGAGUGCUCCUAUUAGAGGAUUCUUCUAGAAGGAAGAAUUACAGCUCCAAAUUGACAUUUUUAGUUAGAACAAGAUAUCCAGGAUAGUUGGACACAAACAUGCAAAAUGAUGCACAGAGUGGAAGAAAAAAAAAAAAAAGCCAAGUUGUCAGCCUGACCUUGAAAAGUAAUGGACUUGGGAAGCAUGUUAGAGGCAUGUUUGAGGACUGAGUGCACGAAGGAGGGCUGUUUCUGGAAGCCAGGUCAUGAGCACAUUCCCAGAAGCCUGAACUUGGCCUCAAGAAUAUCCCUACAGCCCUCAGGAAGCCUGUCUCUUACAGGAGACUGUCUCCUGGGAGGCCUCUAAUUAAACCGCUUUGGAUGACAUCCAAGAAAUGCCUGCCUCGACCAGCACUUGACCCUGUAAUGCUAUCAUGUGGAGCCCACUGGGGCCUGAAAACUUUAUUCUCCCACCGAAUCACUGCUAUGUCGAAGGCCCAGGUAAGCUGCUGCCUGAAGUCUGCUCCCUGAGUAUUGCUUGGGGUCCCAGAUGAGAAACCUAGCUGCAAACCAGAACCCAUGAGUUAUCGCCUGAGGCUGUUCUGGCAGCUGUGGUGCGAAGGGAAGAUGACAAAUGAAUAAAUGUAAAAAACUGAAGGGAGAGGGUGAGCUAGGCCCUCCGGGGUUCACAGCACAGAGGGCCAAGGCAGAUACUAAAGUUAAGACAGCAUCUCCUGAACGUGACCAAGAAGGCUGAGAUGGUUGACUGAAAUCAGUUCCCAGACAGACAGUAGCUGAAGGCACCCCAUCUGUCUCAGAAGCUCCAGCUUGGCAAAAGGUACCCCUCACAUUCUCCCCUUGAGAGCCCUCUCCCACCAGCUGCAGCAAUCCUGAGAAAACUUUCCUGACAUCUCCAGCAUUGACUCUUCCAGUGCCUCGUUCCCCUACCUUCACUCACUCCAUCUCCUCUAUGGAGAGGCCAGAGCCUCAGAGACACCAGGACUGAGUGAAGCCCCCUCUUCGCUCCGAAACAGUGAUUUUGCACAUUUGCAAAAGCUGGAAGACUCUGCGCUGAUUCCGUGUGGAGAGGACGUGUGGUCAUGAGAAAAAGUCUCCAGAAUAGAUGAUUUCCAUAAUUAUGGUUCCCAAGCCCUCCCCACCACGUUCAGCUGACAGCUCUUUCGGCCCUGCCAA